CCUACGGGAGGCAGCAGUGAGGAAUAUUGGUCAAUGGGCGCUAGCCUGAACCAGCCAAGUAGCGUGAAGGAUGACUGCCCUCUGGGCUGUAAACUCCUUUUAUAGGGGAAUAAAGUGCAGUAUGUAUACUGCCUCGCAUGUACCUUAUGAAUAAGGAUCGGCUAACUACGUGCCAGCAGCCGCGGUAAUACGGAGGAUUCGAGCGUUAUCCGGAUUUAUUGGGUUUAAAGGGAGCGUAGGCGGGUUGUUAAGUCAGUUGUGAAAGUUUGCGGCUCAACCGUAAAAUUGCAGUUGAUACUGGGAGCCUUGAGUGCAGAAGAGGAGAGUGGAAUUCGAGGUGUAGCGGUGAAAUGCUUAGAUAUAUCGAAGAACUCCAGUUGCGAAGGCAGCCUGCUGGACUGUAACUGACGCUGAGGUUCGAAAGUGUGGGUAGCAAACAGGAUUAGAUACCCGAGUAGUC
rnacentral:rRNA from 1 species